ensembl:lncRNA
GGGAGGAUUCACCCACAGAAGUACUGAGGAUGUGAUUCUGCCCUUAUAUUAACUUUCCAGUAGAUUACAAAAAGUAAUCAGAACCAAAUGGAAGAUAUACUGUCCAUUAUAUAUUCUCAGACCUGAAGCAGUAAUUUUUUCCCCUGCAUACUAAAGCAAUACAUGGUGAAACAAAUUCUACGAAAUCCCCAUCCCUCAUCCAUGAAGAUGAAGGAGAGAAGAAGAAGAAGAAGAAGAAGAAGAAGAAGAAGAAGAAGAAGAAGAAGAAGAAGAAGAAGAAGAAGAAGAAGAAGAAGAACAAGAACAAGAAGAAGAAGAAGAAGAAGAGAGGAAGAGAGGGAGAGAGGAAAAAGAGCGAGAGCAAAACCUUCAGAGCCUAUAAAUAGAUUUGAGAAAGCCAGGAAUGACAGAAAGCCAAGUCAUGCUCUCCCCAGAUCCUGUGGAUGAUUGGAAAACUAAGUAAUUCCCUUGUGUAAAAUGUACAGUUGCUUUUAUUGAACCUAACUGUUCCAUUGCAGUCACCUGAUCUUUAGAUAAUAUGCAUGUGGCAGAAAUUAGUGCAGUUUCCACAUUUCUGCAGCUUUUCAGAACUUUCAUCCUUUUGAAAUCAUCCUCAUUUCACACAUUGAUUUGGCUGUGAUUGAAUUUCAGCAGCCUUGGUGCUGAUGUAAAUACUCACUGUCUCCAGGAAGCAGAUUCAAUCCAAGAGGUAAGAGCUCUAGGGGAGGUGAAGGUUCUUUUCAUGGCAAUAAACCAGUCAAAAUUCACAGAAAGGAAGCUUUAAAUUUCCACAUUGGGAUGUGAGUUGUUAAAGCUGGCUUUUAGACUGAUGAAACUUCAAUUUGGUAUUCUGAAUACAUUCUCUGUUAUCCUCUUUCCCAACCCCCAUCUCUGCUGAGCACUUUCAGGAAGUGGUAGAAUUUUGUCUCAAGUAACAUUGCCUUCUUUCUCCAUUGAUUCCUGUUGUGAAUAGGCCUUCUUGAAUUCAAAAUCAUCUGCAUCUUUAGGGUUUUCCUAAAGGAUAUUGGAUUUUCUGUUUCAAGGACUAAUCAGAACUAUUAAUCAGCCAUGAAAACAAGCACUAGUCCACUAGCCCAUGGCCUACAAGAAAUUUGGGUUGGUCCUAUUGAAAGACAUAUGAUAUAUUAUGGUUCUCAUUUCAAAUCUCUAUUUGUUUGAUUUCCUUGGUAAUUUAUAUUGUAUUUAUGUUGGGACUAUUUAUGAAGUUAGUGUAUAUCCUACCAAGAGGUUGGUGUAUGCAUUUUUAAAAUGGCAAUAAAAGCAGAAAUACCUGUGGGCAACUAGACUUACAGGGUAAAUAAAAGUAACAUUAACAUAAAUUUCAUAGCACAAAUUUAAAUUUUAUGAAGUUAAUUAUUUUUAAAGCUAUUGGUAUAGAUCUGAAAAAGAGAUUUGAAUUUCAGAGCUAUAGCUUACAAUAUAAUGAGAGUUGGCAAUGUGUGUGUACACACACACAAACACACACACACACACAUAUAUAUAUAUAUAUAUAUACAAUAUUUAAAAACAUUAUAUUGAGGAGUAUGGCAUAUUGAAGGAGAACUAGCAUCUCUGGUGUGAGGGCUUGCCAAGCCCUUUUCCAGGCUUAUCUACUUUUGGUGUCUACUUGGCACUGAAAUCUCUUCUGUGACUCCAAGAAACUGUAAGUAUUUGCAGUGUCCACAUCCUGAUAAACCUUCUCUAUAGAUAGUCUAAACCAAAUUGAGUGUAACUAAAGGGUCUCAAAUCACUGGUGAAUUGAGGGGAUGUUUAACUCAAGUGUAUGAAGACUUCUCCUGCCCGAAUGGGUAGAUGAGAACCUCAACAACCAUGAGGGCAGCUGCAGCAGCAUUGUGGAGUGCUUAGAGUUUGUUCAGGCAUCGAAGAUACCAAAGUCAUCCACUACAUCCUGGGAUAUUUGCAGACAUCUCUGUCUUUUGUCUUGCUGCUGGAUUCUGAUGAAUUUGGAAGAGAGAGUGAGCCUGAUGGCUUUAUAUAAUUCUGCUUCAUUGAAAUCCAGUUCUUGCAUGAGUUAAAACAUAACCCUAUUAUUCUUUGAAAACAAAGGAAAAAAAAACUCACACACACACAUAGAAAUGUACAUAUUUUACACACAGAGAGUUUUAUAAAUCUGAUGGAUAAGAUGAAAUGCAAAAUGGGGGAGAGGAAAAACUGAGUCCAUCAAGUCAGGCAAUUCAGCAAAUAUUAUAUGGGAAGAAAAAAUUAUAUGGGCAGAAAACAUGGUAAUUUAUAGUAAAAAAUAUUUUAAAGAAGGGGUGGCAAUAAACAUGAUUUUGAAUAUCUACGUCCAAAAGGGCAAAGUAUGAAUGAUAAACCUUGUGAACCAACUACUGUCAGAAUUACAGUGAGGGCAACCAGGGAUUUUCCAUAGGUGAAAAACUUGCCAAGACAGAGUAUUUAGAUGGGUCAGGGACUAAUAGAAUUUCUAUACUUCUAAGGUAAAAGGUGGGAGUGGAAUUGUGUCAAGGGAAGGUGAUAGGACUGGGAAAGGGGGAGUAGGAGGAGCAUUCUGUUUAAGGAAUAGGAAAUGGUUUAGGCUCUGUCUCUAUAAUAUGGGUAUUCUCUAAGAAAAGUGAUUAUUUCAGUUGGUGGGACAUAAACUCUAGACUGGCCAACUAGUGGGAAGGGAGGCUUGAUUCUGGCCUGUUGCAGAUGAGUUAGACUUCCUAGUACUAAGUAUUGUAGCCUGGAAUCUAGUGUAAUUUUUGAAUUCCAUGUGUGGAAAAACCUAAAUGAUUCUAUCCCUUAAUUAACUCUAUACAAAUAAUUGAAUAAUUCUUUAAAAUGUUAAGCUAAAAAUUAGACAGAUUGCUGCCAGUUCGUAAUGCCUGCUACCCUCCUCUUUAUCCUCAAACUCAUAAUGCCUUUCUGGCUACUUGUCCUGAUUGUGGUUUGUGGUGAUUGUUCCUGUCACAAAAAUCCCUAGUUAUGGAUCUUUUUAGGGAACAUAACCUAGGGUAUUAAAAUUGACUUUAUAGAUACUACUGAGAUUUGAUGGGAUAUAACUCAUGACUUGAAUAUAAUUAUGGAAAGGAUGUUAUUUGAAAAGAACAGAGGGAUAGUGGAUGAGAAUAUAUAUUGUCAACAUUAACAUGUGAGAAAGUCUAUGAAUUUGAGGGAGAAGGUAAAAAACAUGUAGGGAAGG